rnacentral:rRNA from 2 species
CCUGAUCCCUUCCCGAACUCAGAAGUGAAACCUCUUAGCGCUGAUGGUAGUGUGGGAUUACCCAUGUGAGAGUAAGUCAUCGCCAGCUC